UACGUAGGGUGCAAGCGUUGUCCGGAAUUAUUGGGCGUAAAGAGCUUGUAGGCGGUUUGUCGAGUCUGCUGUGAAAUUUCGGGGCUCAACCCCGAACUUGCAGUGGGUACGGGCAGACUAGAGUGUGGUAGGGGAGACUGGAAUUCCUGGUGUAGCGGUGAAAUGCGCAGAUAUCAGGAGGAACACCGAUGGCGAAGGCAGGUCUCUGGGCCACUACUGACGCUGAGAAGCGAAAGCAUGGGGAGCGAACAGG
rnacentral:rRNA from 1 species